rnacentral:lncRNA from 1 species
CAUCCUGGAAGCGGAUUGAAAUCCAGGUCCCACAUCUUCAGUUUUUUAGGAGGGAUCCGGAUCCGGCCUGUUGAACCCUAUUCUUCAACAAUCCAGUUGACCCAAUCAUGAGUGUUGGCCAGCCUAUGAUGUGCUCUGUAAGUGGCCUCAGUCAGAUGCAGUAUAUCAUUCCUGAGAUAUGGCAGUUUACUUACCUAACCAAACUGUAUUCUUAUGCUGUGCAUCAUGGAAACAAUCUGGAAGAUUGUAAAUCAUUAUUUCUCCAUGCGGGUUGGAAAGGAAAAGCGAAGAUAGCUAAUCGUUAUACUACGAUGAAUUUAUUCCUACUAUUUGUAAUUAUUAUUUUUAAAC